UUGGCUAAUAUUCCGAGCUCUACAUCUAUCCUUUCUCAGCCAUGUCUCUCCAUAUAACUCUCUUUCCGGCGAACAGAGGAAGAACGGCUCUGCAGUUCUCGGGAAAACGAACGGAUGCGAUUGUUUAUGGUGAACGGCUCGCAGAUUAUCCUCCAGAAAACCUCAAAACGACGUCAUUUUACGGAACUGUAUGCUCAUGAAUAUAUUCAAGACCUCUGGCAGAAUCCAAUGCAAUUUGAACACGGAUAGACCAUGGCAGCGGAUCUCUUCCUGGAAUAAUUAGGACAAUAUUAUUACAUGAUUGCAAUCAAAAUGUAGAGUUUGCAAAAGAACUACCAUAACUUCUGAUCUAACCUGAGUCGCGCAGAUGUUCACUUAAGUUUCCAUUAUCAAUGUAUUCAUAAACAAGGAAAAGAGAGCGCUCAGUGCAAUAUCCAAUUAAGCGCACCUACAUGGUAUUAAUACAUAGUUAUUACUUGAACAUGUAUUCUUAAAAAUUUGGCCAACAAUUCUAGGUAUUUAAAUGAUGAUUUCCUUCCUGCAGAA